GACGAACGCUGGCGGCGUGCUUAACACAUGCAAGUCGAACGGAAAGGCCCUGCUUUUGUGCGGUGCUCGAGUGGCGAACGGGUGAGUAACACGUGAGUAACCUGCCCUUGACUUUGGGAUAACUUCAGGAAACUGGGGCUAAUACCGGAUAGGAGCUCCUGCUGCACGGGGGGGGGUGGAAAGUUUCGGCGGUUGGGGAUGGACUGGCAGCUUAUCAGCUUGUUGGGGGGGUAGUGGCUUACCAAGGCUUUGACGGGUAGCCGGCCUGAGAGGGUGACCGGCCACAUUGGGACUGAGGUACGGCCCAGACUCCUACGGGAGGCAGCAGUGGGGAAUAUUGCACAAUGGGCGGAAGCCUGAUGCAGCGACGCCGCGUGCGGGAUGACGGCCUUCGGGUUGUAAACCGCUUUCGCCUGUGACGAAGCGUUAGUGACGGUAAUGGGUAAAGAAGCACCGGCUAACUACGUG
rnacentral:rRNA from 1 species